rnacentral:rRNA from 1 species
CAGCCGCCGCGGUAAUACGGAGGGUGCAAGCGUUAAUCGGAAUUACUGGGCGUAAAGCGUGCGUAGGCGGUUCGUUAAGUCUGUUGUGAAAGCCCCGGGCUCAACCUGGGAAUGGCAAUGGAUACUGGCGAGCUAGAGUGUGUCAGAGGAUGGUGGAAUUCCCGGUGUAGCGGUGAAAUGCGUAGAGAUCGGGAGGAACAUCAGUGGCGAAGGCGGCCAUCUGGGACAACACUGACGCUGAGGCACGAAAGCGUGGGGAGCAAACAGGAUUAGAUACCCCAGUAGUCCCUGUCUCUUAUAA